CCCCCCGGCGGCCGCCGUUCGGGCAAUGGCGGUCGAACAUGGACCUCCUCGACUGGCUGGCGCUAUUCUUCGGGUUCCAGCGCGACAACGUGCGAAACCAGCGCGAGCAUUUGGUCCUCCACCUCGCCAACUCUCAGAUGCGGCUCACGCCGCCGCCGGACAACAUCGACACGCUCGAAGCCGGCGUGCUCCGGCGGUUCCGCAAGAAGCUGCUGAAGAACUACACCACGUGGUGCUCGUACCUCGGGAAGAAGUCCAACAUCUGGAUCUCCGACAGCCGCCGCGGCGGCGACCUCCGCCGCGAGCUCCUGUACGUGUCGCUCUACCUCCUGAUCUGGGGCGAGGCAGCGAAUCUGCGGUUCAUGCCGGAGUGCAUCUGCUACAUCUUCCACAACAUGGCGAACGAGUUGAACCGAAUAUUGGAGGAUUUCAUUGAUGAAAACACGGGGCAGCCGGUGAUGCCUUCGAUUUCCGGUGAGAACGCAUUUUUGAACUUCGUGGUGAAGCCUAUUUAUGAUACGAUUAAGCGCGAGGUUGACAGUAGUAGGAAUGGGACUGCGCCUCAUAGUGCUUGGAGGAACUAUGAUGAUAUUAAUGAGUAUUUUUGGAGUAAGAGGUGUUUUGAGAAGCUGAAGUGGCCUCUUGAUGUUGGGAGUAACUUUUUUGUUACUGCUGGUGGGGGGAAGCAUGUGGGGAAGACUGGGUUUGUGGAGCAGAGGUCGUUUUGGAAUUUGUUUAGGAGUUUUGAUAGGCUUUGGGUGAUGUUGAUACUGUUUCUUCAGGCUGCCAUUAUUGUGGCUUGGGAGGGGAAGACUUACCCUUGGCAGGCUUUGGAGGAUAGGACCGUGCAGGUUAGGGUUUUGACUAUCUUUUUCACUUGGAGUGGUUUGAGGUUUUUGCAGAGUUUGCUUGAUGUGGGGAUGCAGUAUAGGUUGGUGUCCAGGGAGACCAUGGGGCUUGCAGUGAGGAUGGUGCUGAAGUGUGUUGUGGCUGCCGGUUGGAUUGUUGUGUUUGGUGUGUUUUAUGCGAGGAUAUGGACGCAGAGGAACCAGGAUAGGAGGUGGUCGCCGGCUGCGAAUAAUCGGGUGCUGAACUUUAUGGAGGCUGUGUUUGUGUUUGUCAUUCCGGAGCUUCUGGCUUUGGCUCUUUUUAUUCUUCCUUGGAUUAGGAAUUUUGUUGAGAAUACGAAUUGGAGGGUUUUCUACAUGUUGUCGUGGUGGUUUCAGAGCAGGAGCUUUGUGGGGCGUGGUUUGAGGGAAGGUCUUGUGGACAAUGUUAAAUAUUCGUUGUUCUGGAUUGUGGUGCUGGCCACGAAAUUUUGCUUCAGUUACUUUUUGCAGGUGAAACCCAUGAUUGCUCCGACGAAGGCUGUGUUGGGCCUUAAACAUGUUGAGUAUGAAUGGCAUGAGUUUUUUCAUAAUAGCAACCGGUUCGCUGUUGGUUUGUUGUGGCUUCCGGUUGUUUUGAUUUAUCUGAUGGAUAUACAGAUUUGGUAUUCGAUAUACUCGUCUUUUGUUGGUGCAGCUGUGGGGUUGUUCUCACACUUGGGUGAGAUUCGAAAUAUGCAACAGCUGAAAUUGAGGUUCCAGUUUUUUGCCAGUGCGAUUCAGUUUAAUCUCAUGCCAGAGGAGCAGUUGUUGAAUACAAGGGGAACGUUGAAGAGUAAGUUUAAGGAUGCCAUCCACAGGUUGAAGCUCAGGUAUGGGCUUGGUCGGCCUUACAGGAAGCUCGAGUCUAACCAGAUUGAGGCCAACAAGUUUGCUUUGAUAUGGAAUGAGAUAAUUCUGUCUUUUAGGGAGGAAGAUAUUAUAUCUGACAAAGAGUUUGAAUUGCUGGAGCUGCCGCAAAACUCUUGGAAUGUCAGGGUGAUCCGCUGGCCAUGUUUUCUUCUGUGCAAUGAGUUACUGUUGGCACUCAGUCAGGCCAAAGAAUUAGUUAAUGAUAGUGAUAAGAGGCUUUAUAAUAAGAUAUGCAAGAGUGAGUACAGACGCUGUGCUGUCAUCGAAGCUUAUGAUAGUAUCAAGCACUUGCUUCUCGAGAUUAUCAAUCCCAACACUGAAGAACAUUCUAUUGUGACUGUGCUGUUUCAGGAAAUUGAUCAUUCUCUUGAGAUUGAGAAGUUCACUAAAAUGUUCAAAACAACUGCACUGCCUCAACUCCACAACAAGUUGAUAAAACUUGUUCAGUUGUUAAAGAAGCCUAAGAAAGAUCCAAACCAAGUGGUGAAUACCCUUCAAGCCCUUUAUGAGAUUGCUAUCAGAGACUUUUUCAAGGACCAAAGAAAUGCUGAUCAGCUAAAGGAAGAUGGUUUGGCUCAACAGAAUCCUGCUUCAGGUCUACUUUUUGAGAAUGCCAUUCAGUUGCCUGACACCAGCAAUGAGAACUUCUAUCGGCAGGUUCGGCGCUUGGACACAAUUCUUACAUCCAAUGAUUCAAUGCAAAACAUCCCAAUAAAUUUAGAAGCUAGACGGAGAAUUGCUUUCUUCAGUAACUCACUUUUUAUGAACAUGCCCCAUGCUCCCCAAGUUGAGAAAAUGAUGGCUUUCAGUGUUCUAACACCUUACUAUAGUGAAGAAGUACUGUACAGCAAAGAACAGCUGAGAAAUGAGAAUGAAGAUGGGGUUUCAAUCCUGUACUAUUUGCAGACUAUAUAUGAUGAUGAGUGGAAAAAUUUUAUGGAGAGGAUGCGUCGAGAGGGGAUAACAAAAGAUAGUGAUAUUUGGACUGAAAAACUUAGGGAUUUGAGGCUAUGGGCUUCCUACAGAGGCCAGACACUGUCACGGACAGUUAGAGGAAUGAUGUACUACUAUCGGGCCCUGAAGAUGUUGACUUUUCUGGAUUCUGCAUCAGAAAUGGAUAUUCGAGAAGGUGCCCGAGAACUUGUUUCAAUGAGGCCAGAUAAUUUAGGGAGUUCCAACUCUGAAAGGUCAUCAUCCUCUAAGGGUUUAAGUAGAGCAAGCAGUUCAGUUAGUUUGUUAUUCAAAGGCCACGAGUAUGGGACUGCUUUAAUGAAAUUCACGUAUGUGAUUGCUUGCCAGAUAUAUGGAACUCAGAAGGAAAAAAAGGAUCCUCAUGCUGAUGAAAUUUUGUAUCUAAUGCAAAACAAUGAGGCCCUUCGGGUUGCUUAUGUUGAUGAGAAAACCACUGGAAGGGAUGAGAAGGAGUAUUACUCUGUUCUUGUUAAGUAUGAUCAGCAGUUGCAGAAGGAGGUGGAAAUUUACCGUGUAAAGUUGCCUGGGCCCUUGAAACUUGGGGAAGGAAAGCCAGAAAAUCAAAACCAUGCCAUCAUCUUCACUCGUGGUGAUGCAGUUCAAACUAUUGAUAUGAAUCAGGACAACUACUUUGAGGAGGCACUUAAAAUGCGAAAUCUUUUGGAAGAAUACAGCCACUACUAUGGCAUCCGGAAACCCACUAUUUUGGGAGUUAGGGAACACAUUUUUACUGGUUCUGUUUCCUCUCUUGCAUGGUUCAUGUCAGCUCAGGAAACGAGUUUUGUCACCUUGGGACAGAGGGUUUUGGCAAACCCUUUGAAGGUUAGAAUGCAUUAUGGUCACCCAGAUGUGUUUGACAGGUUUUGGUUCUUGACUCGAGGUGGUAUCAGUAAAGCUUCCAGAGUGAUCAACAUAAGUGAGGACAUCUUUGCUGGAUUUAAUUGUACUCUUCGGGGAGGUAAUGUCACUCACCAUGAGUACAUUCAGGUUGGAAAGGGGAGGGAUGUUGGGUUGAAUCAAGUAUCAAUGUUUGAAGCAAAGGUUGCAAGUGGAAAUGGGGAGCAAAUCCUAAGUAGAGAUGUGUACAGAUUGGGUCAUAGGCUGGAUUUUUUCCGGAUGCUCUCAUUCUUCUACACUACUGUGGGGUUCUUCUUCAACACAAUGAUGGUGAUUCUGACUGUAUAUGCAUUUUUAUGGGGUCGAUUAUAUCUUGCACUUAGUGGUGUUGAGAAUGCAAUGGAAAGUAACAGCAAUAACAAUAAAGCACUUGGUACCAUCUUGAAUCAACAGUUCAUUAUCCAACUUGGACUUUUCACUGCUCUUCCAAUGAUUGUAGAAAAUUCCCUUGAGCAUGGGUUCCUUCAAGCUAUCUGGGAUUUCUUGACAAUGCAGCUCCAGCUUUCAUCAGUUUUUUACACAUUCUCGAUGGGCACUCGUAGUCAUUUCUUUGGUCGGACUGUUCUGCAUGGUGGGGCAAAAUAUCGAGCUACUGGUCGUGGUUUUGUUGUAGAACACAAGGGAUUUGCUGAAAUCUAUAGACUCUUUUCCCGCAGCCAUUUUGUGAAAGCAAUUGAAUUGGGUCUAAUACUUGUAAUUUAUGCAUCACAUAGUCCUGUAGCAACUGACACUUUUGUUUAUAUAGCCUUGACCAUUACUAGUUGGUUCUUAGUUGCAUCAUGGAUUAUGGCACCAUUUGUGUUCAAUCCUUCUGGCUUUGAUUGGUUAAAAACUGUUUAUGACUUUGAUGACUUUAUGAACUGGAUUUGGUUCAGUGGAAGUGUGUUUGCUAAAGCUGAACAGAGUUGGGAAAGGUGGUGGUAUGAAGAGCAGGAUCAUCUGAAGGUAACUGGCCUUUGGGGAAAGCUUUUGGAGAUAAUCUUAGACCUCCGGUUCUUCUUUUUCCAGUAUGGAAUUGUCUAUCAGCUAGGCAUUUCUGAUGGAAGUACUAGUAUUGCUGUUUACUUGCUAUCUUGGAUUUAUGUGCUUGUUGUAUCUGGGAUUUAUGUGGUGGUAGUAUAUGCCCGGAACAAAUACGCAGCCAGAGAGCAUAUCUAUUAUCGUCUGGUCCAGUUCCUUGUAAUAAUUCUUGCUAUACUUGUUAUAGUUGGUUUGCUGGAAUUCACUCAAUUCAAAUUCAUUGAUAUUUUUACUAGCCUGCUGGCAUUCAUUCCCACAGGCUGGGGCCUGAUAUCAAUUGCCCAAGUAUUCCGGCCAUUUUUUCAGUCCACUAUCAUUUGGGAUGGUGUUGUUUCCGUGGCUCGUCUAUAUGAUAUAAUGUUUGGAGUCAUUGUUAUGGUCCCUGUAGCACUACUAUCAUGGUUGCCUGGAUUUCAGAAUAUGCAAACCAGAAUUCUUUUCAAUGAAGCAUUCAGCAGGGGACUCCGGAUAUUCCAGAUUGUUACAGGGAAAAAAUCACAGAGUUGACUGUGAAUUGAGUUCUCAUGAAGACAUAAAUGCAUACAUGAUUAAUCAGGCAAUGAGUUUCCUCAUCACGAUUGUAACCUGAACAUUCAAUUCACUUUUUCCUUCCUCAUCACGAUUGUAACCUCAACACUUAAAUGAAGUGCAGACAACGACUCCUACAGAUCACAUUAUGGGAUGACGGCUGGAAAGUCAUGUAGAGAAGGGCUAUAGAAGACGAGAGACUAAAAAGCUUUCCUCGUUUUUCCAAAUUUUCGUCUUGGUAUGCGAUGGCUAUUGAUGAGUUGGUGGCUGUGAUUAUAUUUUGCUUGUUUUGUGGAUAGGGGAGAUUAUUUUUUGCUUUCUUUUGAUGGUCAUAUUUGUUAUUGUAAUUAGUCUAUUCUCACGUUUUUUUAAAAUAGUUUUGGCCGAUGAUUUUCUGAUUGUGUGUUGUUACAUCCCUGGCAAAAAACGGCUCAUUAUACUGCAGAAUGAUAGGCAGUACCAUGAUUCAGAUUUGUUAACUUAUUGCCAUAGUUGAAUACAUAGUGUAUGUUAAAUUCAGGAAAAAUGAUCGUUUAUUUCUUUCAGCUUCCUGAUUGGCUUUCCGAAAAGUAACUAUCUAAAUUUAAGUUAAACUAACAU